AACAGCUGAGACAUCAUCUUUGGAUCCAACAUUGAUCGUCUGUCCUCUGGGCAAAGCUGCUGGGUCAUCUCCAAUGUCAAGAGCCUUCCUGCUAACGACUCGAUAAAUCUGGGUCAGCACCUCUGUGAAUGCAUUCUCCACAUUCAUGGAUUCCAGAGCAGAUGUCUCCAUGAAAAAGGUAUUCUCUCGUUCAGCAAAUCCCUUGGCAUCGUCAGUGGCAACAGCUCGCAAAUGACGCAGGUCGGCCUUGUUUCCUACAAGCAUGAUCACAAUGUUUGCAUCUGUGUGAUCCCUAAGCUCCUUUAGCCAUCUCUCAACAUUUUCAAAUGUUAAACAUCGUACACUAGUAAAGCUCCCACGGCACCUCUGUAGUAUGCACUUGUAAUGGCACGAUAUCUUUCUUGGCCGGCGGUAUCCCAAAUCUGAGCCUUGACGACCUUAUCAUCGACGUGAAUGCUGCGGGUGGCGAACUCGACGCCGAUGGUGGAUUUGGAUUCAAGGCUGAAUUCAUUUCUGGUAAAACGAGACAAUAGAUUGGAUUUGCCAACGCCAGAAUCUCCAAUCAAGACGACCUUGAACAAGUAAUCGUAAUCAUCGUCUGCUCUAUAUGCUCCCAUUUGAUACGGCUCUCUCUUAUCCGGGUUUUCUUCUUUCGCU
rnacentral:misc_RNA from 1 species